GACGUAGGGCGCAAGCGUUGUCCGGAUUUAUUGGGCGUAAAGAGCUCGUAGGCGGCUUGUCGCGUCGACUGUGAAAACCCGUGGCUCAACCAUGUGGUCUGCAGUCGAUACGGGCAGGCUAGAAUUCGGUAGGGGAGACUGGAAUUCCUGGCGUAGCGGUGAAAUGCGCAGAUAUCAGGAGGAACACCGGUGGCGAAGGCGGGUCUCUGGGCCGAUAUUGACGCUGAGGAGCGAAAGCGUGGGGAGCGAACAGG
rnacentral:rRNA from 1 species